rnacentral:misc_RNA from 1 species
AACAAGGCGUACCUGCGGACCUGCGGAGGGAUCAUUACACAAUAAACAUAUGAAGGCUGCACCGCCAACAGGCGGCAAGGCUGGAGUAUUUUAUUACCCUUGUCUUUUGCGCACUUGUUGUUUCCUGGGCGGGUUCGCCCGCCUCCAGGACCACAUGAUAAACCUUUUUUAUGCAGUUGCAAUCAGCGUCAGUACAACAAAUGUAAAUCAUUUACAACUUUCAGCAACGGAUCUCAGAUC